CUUGAUGGAGCCGAGCCAGAGGGGCUGGUCGGCAGGGCGGUGUUGGCCGUAAGUGGCCAGCAGUGCCUGUGCCUC
rnacentral:antisense_RNA from 1 species